rnacentral:misc_RNA from 1 species
GAUGAAGAACGUAGCGAAAUGCGAAAAGUAGUGUGAAUUGCAGAAUUCAGUGAAUCAUCGAAUCUUUGAACGCACAUUGCGCCCGCCAGUAUUCUGGCGGGCAUGCCUGUUCGAGCGUCAUUUCAACCAUCAAGCCCCCGGCUUGUGUUGGGGACCUGCGGCUGCCGCAGGCCCUGAAAUGCAGUGGCGGGCUCGCUGUCACUCCGAGCGUAGUAGUUACAUCUCGCUCUGAGCGUGCUGCGGGUUCCGGCCGUUAAAAGCCUUAUUUACCCAAGGUUGACCUCGGAUCAGGUAGGAAGACCCGCUGAACUUAAGCAUAUCAAUAAGCGGAGGA